GACGAACGCUGGCGGCGUGCUUAACACAUGCAAGUCGAACGGAAAGGCCCUGCUUUUGUGGGGUGCUCGAGUGGCGAACGGGUGAGUAACACGUGAGUAACCUGCCCUUGACUUUGGGAUAACUUCAGGAAACUGGGGCUAAUACCGGAUAGGAGCUCCUGCUGCAUGGUGGGGGUUGGAAAGUUUCGGCGGUUGGGGAUGGACUCGCGGCUUAUCAGCUUGUUGGUGGGGUAGUGGCUUACCAAGGCUUUGACGGGUAGCCGGCCUGAGAGGGUGACCGGCCACAUUGGGACUGAGAUACGGCCCAGACUCCUACGGGAGGCAGCAGUGGGGAAUAUUGCACAAUGGGCGGAAGCCUGAUGCAGCAACGCCGCGUGCGGGAUGACGGCCUUCGGGUUGUAAACCGAUUUCGCCUGUGACGAAGCGUGAGUGACGGUAAUGGGUAAAGAAGCACCGGCUAACUACGUG
rnacentral:rRNA from 1 species